rnacentral:rRNA from 2 species
CUGGCUCAGAUUGAACGCUGGCGGCAGGCCUAACACAUGCAAGUCGAGCGGCAGCGACUUAACUGAACCUUCGGGGAACGUUAAGGGCGGCGAGCGGCGGACGGGUGAGUAAUGCCUGGGAAUAUGCCCUGAUGUGGGGGAUAACUAUUGGAAACGAUAGCUAAUACCGCAUAAUCUCUUCGGAGCAAAGAGGGGGACCUUCGGGCCUCUCGCGUCAGGAUUAGCCCAGGUGGGAUUAGCUUGUUGGUGAGGUAAUGGCUCACCAAGGCAACGAUCCCUAGCUGGUCUGAGAGGAUGAUCAGCCACACUGGAACUGAGACACGGUCCAGACUCCUACGGGAGGCAGCAGUGGGGAAUAUUGCACAAUGGGGGAAACCCUGAUGCAGCCAUGCCGCGUGUGUGAAGAAGGCCUUCGGGUUGUAAAGCACUUUCAGUAGGGAGGAAGGUAGUGUAGUUAACACCUGCAUUAUUUGACGUUACCUACAGAAGAAGCACCGGCUAACUCCGUGCCAGCAGCCGCGGUA